rnacentral:rRNA from 1 species
ACACAUGCAAGUGGUGCGACGAACCAGGGCUUGCCCUGGGGCAAAGCCGCGAACGGGUGAGUAACACGUGGGUAAUCUGCCCCGAUGACCGGGACAACCCGAGGAAACUCGGGCUAAUACCGGAUGAUGAGCCAAGGCUCAAGCCUUGUCUCUAAAGGAAGCUUCGGCCUCCGCAUUGGGAGGAGCCCGCGGCGCAUUAGCUUGUUGGUGGGGUAACGGCCUACCAAGGCGACGAUGCGUAGCUGGUCUGAGAGGACGAUCAGCCACACUGGGACUGAGACACGGCCCAGACUCCUACGGGAGGCAGCAGUGGGGAAUCUUGCGCAAUGCGCGAAAGCGUGACGCAGCAACGCCGCGUGGGGGAAGACGGCCUUCGGGUUGUAAACCCCUUUCAGGAGGGACGAAGGUUCACCGGUGAAUAGCCGUGUGGAUUGACGGUACCUCCACAAGAAGCACCGGCUAACUACGUGCCAGCAGCCGCGGUAAUACGUAGGGUGCAAGCGUUGUCCGGAAUCAUUGGGCGUAAAGCGCGCGUAGGUGGCCAUUUAAGUCCGCUGUGAAAGUCAAAGGCUCAACCUUUGAAAGCCGGUGGAUACUGGAUGGCUAGAGUACGGAAGAGGCGAGUGGAAUUCCUGGUGUAGCGGUGGAAUGCGCAGAUAUCAGGAGGAACACCAAUAGCGAAGGCAGCUCGCUGGGACGUUACUGACACUAAGGCGCGAAAGCGUGGGGAGCGAACAGGAUUAGAUACCCUGGUAGUCCACGCCGUAAACGAUGGAUACUAGUGUGGGAGGUGUCGACUCC